AAACAACACGUGGUUUCAAUUUGUAUUUAUACAGGUCGAUUCGUUAGCGGCGGCAGUGGCGAUGCUCUGGAAACCUCACGUCGGCUGCAGACUCCGCUCCACCAUCAGCGCGGCAUCCGCAAUGUCACAGCGGGCACGGGCAGUCGGAAUCUGGCGAUCGCGCAAAUAUGAAUGUGUCGUGAAACCCCGCCACCACCCGACGCAAGCCAAUGUGCCCGACGCCAGUGCCUCCUCCUGCCCCCGUGGGUCCCGGCGCAGUUGCACCGCCUGUGCACUUGUACGCGACCGCUGGCUGAGUCCGAUUGAAGUUUUUGUUCACGCUGACACGACUUCUACAGCCUCGGUUUUCUCCUGAGUACACCGCGCAGUCUUCUAUUGUGUUUGUUUUGUUUACUUGCAUUGUUUACCAAUAGUCCACUGUACAGUACUUCUCGA